rnacentral:rRNA from 1 species
AAAUUGAAGAGUUUGAUCAUGGCUCAGAUUGAACGCUGGCGGCAGGCCUAACACAUGCAAGUCGAACGGUAACAGGAAGCAGCUUGCUGUUUUGCUGACGAGUGGCGGACGGGUGAGUAAUGUCUGGGAAACUGCCCGAUGGAGGGGGAUAACUACUGGAAACGGUAGCUAAUACCGCAUAACGUCGCAAGACCAAAGAGGGG